AGGUCCUUUUUAACUGCUCCUAGGUGCAGAUUCUCUAACAGAGAAGGAGGAGAUGCUCACAAAGCGAGACCUCUUUUUCCUCCUCUCUCCCACCAGUGGCACCACCCAAGAUGGCUGAAGCUGCUCCCAUCUUCCCUCGGAGCCAGCCUGCGUCGCCUCCGGUAUCUGCAGCUCUGGCAAGGUUUGGUUGCUUGGAGAAGCACAAAAGGGAAAGCAGCAGGGAAGGGAGAGGGUAAAAAGCUGCGUUCUGUUCCUAAAAACCAGCAACGUAGUCAGAGGAGAGCUCUAGAAGAUUAAAGCACUGCAGGAACCUGGUGCGGAGGAGUCCUUUGCCACCCACGGCGCGAGCGGCUCGGUCCCUUUCCCACGUGGAGCAUCUUGUUUGUGCUGAGAGGUCUGAGCCGUGGCCGCAGCACGGGGCACGGCCAGGGGCUGCAGGGCGAUGGGGAGGAGAAGAUGCGCGGGGAAGGAGACACCAAGAUUCAGUGACAGCAGAGAUUGCAAGGACUUGAACCCAGAGCCAUCCUACGGGACUCAAAUCCAUUCAUCUGUCUUUCCCCUCUUUCAUGAAGUUUAAAAGGCUUCAAAGAUUUGCUACUGAAUUCCUCCGUCUGCAGGGAUGAGAAACAGUCAUCGCAUGGAAGAGCGAGUGGUCGGGACCUUUGGUAUCCAGCUGUAAGACAUCUUCCUACAGUGCUCAUGGUUCAUGUUCAGGAAUGACUUUUUGACUCUUAACCACUAUAUUUAAAGAUUUGCUGGGCAGUAGAUGUGACUGAUAUUUAUAUGAAAUUAAUCCCCCUGUGCAGGAGGCUCUGCGCUCUCAGGUCGAAACGUGGUUUUGGUAGAGUUAAUUGGAGAACGAGUAUUUACUUUCAGCUCGGGUUUUUGCUUCCUUGGCUUCAGUUCGUAAGUGUUGAAGGUUUCACCUUCCCAAUGCAAAAAUAAAAGGAAAACAACGAGAUCCUAAAUGGCUCGCUUAUAACAAGCUGAAUGGAGCUUUAUAGAAAAUACAAAUACUUCGGGAGAAAAAAACAGAACCUGCAGCUGAAAAACAAGGUCUGCGGGGCUGCGGAGGAGAACCGCCCCGCCGUGCCGGGCAUUCCUCCGGCGCUGCAUUCCCAAGCACAAGAAAAAGUAAAAAAGACGUUUAAUUGACCGAAGUCCUGAUUGUCUUUUCAGACACCCUUCUUGAUGUGGUUAGAGAUUGGAACCCUUUUGGAAAGCAACCUGACAUUUCAUAGCUUAGAUAUUUCCUCCAUUGCUUUUGACUUUCAGGCCUCAGUUAUUUCCACCAGGCAAGCGUUUGCCAAGCUGAUGA